UUGCAGAGCUGGAACGCAUGCAACAGUAUGUGACAGAUGUAAGACAACUACAAAAACGCAUUCAGGAAUCUGAAGAAGCAGUUCAGUUUAUUAAUAAGGAAGAAGAACUUUUCAAAUGGGAAUUGACAAAAUAUCCUGAACUGGAUAAAUUAAAAGUUAAUAUUGAGCCCUAUCAGAAGUUUUUUAAUUUUGUUUUGAAGUGGCAACGAUCAGAAAAACGGUGGAUGGAUGGAGG